UUAAGUAGAAAAGAGCGCACGGAGGAUGCCUUGGCACUAGGAGCCGAAGAAGGACGUGACAAACGACGAAACGCUACGGGGAGCUGUAAGUAAGCAAAGAUCCGUAGAUAUCCGAAUGGGGGAACCCACCGCUUUUAAAAGGGCGGUACGCGAAAGCGAGGUAACGCAGGGAACUGAAACAUCUAAGUACCUGUAGGAAGAGAAAGAAAAAUCGAUUUCCUAAGUAGCGGCGAGCGAAAGGGAAAGAGCCCAAACCAAUGUGCUUGCAUAUUGGGGUUGUAGGACUCUCAAUAAAACGUAUUACAAAGUAUAGUAGAACGAGCUGGAAAGUUAGACCGUAGAAGGUAAAAGUCCUGUAUACGAAAUGCUGAGUUGGCGUGAGAGAGUACCUGAGUACGGCGGAACACGAGGAAUUCCGUCGGAAUCUACCAGGACCAUCUGGUAAGGCUAAAUACUACCUAGUGACCGAUAGUGAACCAGUACCGUGAGGGAAAGGUGAAAAGAACCCCGGGAGGGGAGUGAAAGAGAACCUGAAACCGUGUGCUUACAAGUAGUCAGAGCCCUUUAGGGGGUGAUGGCGUGCCUUUUGUAGAAUGAACCGGCGAGUUACUUUAUCAUGCGAGGUUAAGUGGAAGACAUGGAGCCGAAGCGAAAGCGAGUCUUAAUAGGGCGAAAUAGUAUGAUGGAGUAGACCCGAAACCAAGUGAUCUACCCAUGGCCAGGUUGAAGUUUAGGUAACACUGAAUGGAGGACCGAACCAGGACACGUUGAAAAGUGUUUGGAUGAGCUGUGGGUAGCGGAGAAAUUCCAAUCGAACUUGGAAAUAGCUGGUUCUCUCCGAAAUAGCUUUAGGGCUAGCCUCGUUGUGAGUUUACUGGAGGUAGAGCACUGUUUGGACUAGGGGCCCAUCCCGGGUUACCGAAUUCAGACAAACUCCGAAUGCCAGAUAAAUAUCAACGGGAGUCAGACUGCGGGUGAUAAGGUUCGUAGUCGAAAGGGAAACAGCCCAGACCGCCAGCUAAGGUCCCAAAUUGUAUGUUAAGUGGAAAAGGAUGUGAUGAUGCACAGACAACCAGGAUGUUGGCUUAGAAGCAGCCACCAUUUAAAGAGUGCGUAAUAGCUCACUGGUCGAGUGACAUCGCGCCGAAAAUGUACCGGGGCUAAACAUACAACCGAAGCUGCGGAUAUAACUAAUGUUAUAUGGUAGGAGAGCGUUCUAACAUCAUAGAAGCCGAACUGGAAGGUGAGGUGGAGAGGUUAGAAGUGAGAAUGCCGGUGUGAGUAGCGAAAGAUAGGUGAGAAUCCUAUCCACCGAAAGACUAAGGUUUCCAGAGGAAGGCUCGUCCGCUCUGGGUAAGUCGGGACCUAAGGUGAAGCCGAUAGGUGAAGCCGAUGGACAACAGGUAGAAAUUCCUGUACCACCGAAUAUCGAUUGAGAGAAGUGGGGACAGAGGAGGCUAAUUGAUCGCCCUGAUGGAAUAGGGCGUCUAAGCACAAAGACUGACAAGUAGGCAAAUCCGCUUGUUGUAAAGGUUGAAGUGUGAUGGGGAGCGAAAUAUAGUAGCGAAGUCAAUGAAGCCAAACUCUCAAGAAAAGCCGCUAUCGAGAUAAGAGGUGCCCGUACCGCAAACCGACACAGGUAGUUGGGAAGAGAAUUCUAAGGUGAGCGAGAGAACCAUCGUUAAGGAACUCGGCAAAAUGACCCCGUAACUUCGGGAGAAGGGGUGCCUACGAGAGUAGGCCGCAGUGAAUAGGCCCAAGCGACUGUUUAUCAAAAACACAGGUCUCUGCAAAACCGAAAGGUGAAGUAUAGGGGCUGACGCCUGCCCGGUGCUGGAAGGUUAAGAGGAGUGCUUAGCGCAAGCGAAGGUAUGAAUUGAAGCCCCAGUAAACGGCGGCCGUAACUAUAACGGUCCUAAGGUAGCGAAAUUCCUUGUCGGGUAAGUUCCGACCCGCACGAAAGGCGUAAUGAUUUGGGCACUGUCUCAACGAGAGACUCGGUGAAAUUUUAGUACCUGUGAAGAUGCAGGUUACCCGCGACAGGACGGAAAGACCCCAUGGAGCUUUACUGUAGCUUGAUAUUGAAUUUUGAUGCAGUAUGUACAGGAUAGGUAGGAGCCUAAGAAUCAUGCACGCCAGUGUAUGAGGAGGCGUUGUUGGGAUACUACCCUUGCUGUAUUGAAAUUCUAACCCUCGGCAUAGAAAACCGGGAGACAGUGUCAGGUGGGCAGUUUGACUGGGGCGGUCGCCUCCUAAAGAGUAACGGA
rnacentral:rRNA from 1 species